CACUAAGAAGCUAAACUGGGCCCACAGCGUCAGCCUUUUAAGCUGAAGAUUGGUGCCUCCCAACCACCCUUAGUGA
ensembl:Mt_tRNA tRNA-Lys